UGCCAGUAGUCAUAUGCUUGUCUUAAAGAUUAAGCCAUGCAUGUCUAAGUAUAAGCAAUUAUACAGCGAAACUGCGAAUGGCUCAUUAAAUCAGUUAUCGUUUAUUUGAUAGUACCUUACUACAUGGAUAACCGUGGUAAUUCUAGAGCUAAUACAUGCUGAAAACCCCGACUUUGGAAGGGGUGUAUUUAUUAGAUUAAAAACCAAUGCCCUCCGGGGCUCACUGGUGAUUCAUGAUAACUUCUCGAAUCGCACGGCCUUGCGCCGGCGAUGGUUCAUUCAAAUUUCUGCCCUAUCAACUUUCGACGGCUGGGUCUUGGCCAGCCGUGGUGACAACGGGUAACGGAGGGUUAGGGCUCGACCCCGGAGAAAACGCCUGAGAAACGGCGUUUACAUCCAAGGAAGGCAGCAGGCGCGCAAAUUACCCAAUGCCGACACGGCGAGGUAGUGACGAGAAAUACUGAUACAGGGCUCUUUUGGGUCUUGUAAUUGGAAUGAGUACAAUUUAAAUCUCUUAACGAGGAACAAUUGGAGGGCAAGUCUGGUGCCAGCAGCCGCGGUAAUUCCAGCUCCAAUAGCGUAUAU
rnacentral:rRNA from 1 species